rnacentral:rRNA from 1 species
UACAGAGGUGCCAAGCGUUGUUCGGAUUUAUUGGGCGUAAAGGGUGCGUAGGCGGUUAACUUAGUCGGAUGUGAAAUCCCGGAGCCUAACUCCGGAAUGGCAUUCGAAACUGGUUAGCUCGAGGUCUGGAGAGGUGACUGGAAUUCUCGGUGUAGCAGUGAAAUGCGUAGAGAUCGUAAGGAAGACCAGUGGCGAAGGCGGGUCUCUGGACAGUUCCUGACACUGAGGCACGAAGGCCAGGGGAGCAAACGGG